rnacentral:rRNA from 1 species
CGCUCUUUGGACACUUUUGUUAUCGUUAAUUUAGGCAUAAAGAGUCGAACCUGCCCAGUGACAGUAUUUGUUAAACGGCCGCGGUACUCUGACCGUGCAAAGGUAGCAUAAUCAUUUGCCUUUUAAUUGAAGGCUUGUAUGAAUGGUUUGACGAGAACUAAACUGUCUCUUUUUAAAUAUAUAAAAAUUAAUUUUUAGGUGAAGAAGCCUACAUUUAAUUGAGGGACAAGAAGACCCCGUUGAGCUUUAGUGAUUUAAUAAAGAUUUAUAAAACUGAAUUUUUGUUACAUUUGUUGUAGAUAUUUUUUAUUAAUAAAUCUUUAGUUGGGGCGACUGAGGAACAUAAAUAGCUUCCUUUAAAGUAAAAUGAAUUAUAGGAAAUUAAUCUUUUAUUUAGAUCCAGUAUUUGCUGAUUAAAAGAAAAAGUUACCACGGGGAUAACAGCGUAAUCCUUUUGGAGAGUUCUUAUCGAUAAAAGGGUUUGCGACCUCGAUGUUGGAUUAAGAUAUCCUAGAGAUGCAGAAGUUUCUAAUGGUUAGUCUGUUCGACUAUUAAAAUCUU